rnacentral:rRNA from 1 species
GACAGAGGUGCCAAGCGUUAGGCGGAAUCACUGGGCUUAAAGCGUGUGUAGGCGGGUCGUUAAGUACCUUGUGAAAUCCCACGGCUCAACCGUGGAACUGCUCGGUAUACUGGCGAUCUUGAGCCACUUAGGGGCUACCGGAACAAAUGGUGGAGCGGUGAAAUGCGUAGAGAUCGUAAGGAAGACCAGUGGCGAAGGCGAGUUUCUGGACAGUUACUGACGCUGAGGCACGAAGGCCAGGGGAGCAAACGGG